rnacentral:rRNA from 1 species
AACGAACGCUGGCGGCAGGCUUAACACAUGCAAGUCGAACGCAUCCUUCGGGGUGAGUGGCAGACGGGUGAGUAACGCGUGGGAACGUGCCCUUCAGUUCGGGAUAAACCAGGGGAACUUGGGCUAAUACCGGAUACGUGCGAGAGCAGAAAGAUUUAUCGCUGAAGGAUCGGCCCGCGUCUGAUUAGCUAGUUGGGGGGGUAAUGGCCCACCAAGGCGACGAUCAGUAGCUGGUCUGAGAGGAUGAUCAGCCACACUGGGACUGAGACACGGCCCAAACUCCUACGGGAGGCAGCAGUGGGGAAUAUUGGACAAUGGGCGCAAGCCUGAUCCAGCCAUGCCGCGUGAGUGAUGAAGGCCUUAGGGUUGUAAAGCUCUUUCGUCCGGGACGAUAAUGACGGUACCGGAAGAAGAAGCCCCGGCUAACUUCGUGCCAGCCGCCGCCGUAA